GGUAGCGCGACGAGCACAGCCUGAUGACUUAUCUGUUACGUUUUCAGGAAACAACAUCCGCUUGCAGCAAUGGCAAGUUCGCAGUGCUUCGACACCAACCGAAACCACGUGACCCAAGUCGGCAUGAUGGAAGUUCGUGGAAGAGCGGCACCUAUGUACAAAUUGCCACAUACUCCUUGACCCAUGUUGUUGGCCCGGUUGGUUUGGAACAAAGGUACCUCAGUACAGCAGCCCGGCGUGCUAACUAUUCAGCCACGAAAUUCCCCGUGACCCAGGUGGACGGAAAAUCGGUUACAUACAAACAGACAUACAAAGACAUACAUGAAUAAAUACAUACAAAGCCCCUUAAAGUGCGUGAAGUAUCCUAAGAAUGAUAACGCAUUAAUAUCCCCAGAGCCUUUCUUCCCCAUUUGUUUCGAAGAAGAAAGCGACCGGAGCUGCCAUGUUCCUUUACAUACCUUGAGUGUUAUCCAAAUAGCCUUGGUAUUGCCGCCGAACGUUCUACACCUGUGGCAGAAACCAACUCCUGGAUACUAGACCAUCUGGAAAAGAUACAGAUCAUCUUGAAGCUUGUUUUCACGCGACGCUCUGUGGUAAAGCGCGAAAUAGCGUUACGGCGUUUGGGUUACCAUUUUUGGAUAGCUCAUGCGUUGCCGUACUUGAGCUGACUGUGUCUAGUAUGGAGAGCGAAUGUGUAACAAUUGAA